UGCGCACGAGUGGGCAGGGGGGUCGGUGAUAAGGAGGGGUCGAGCGUUAAUCGUAAGUACUGGGCGUAAGGCUGGCACAGGCGGUUUGAAAAGUCAGCUGUGAAAGCCCCGGGCGCAAGCUGGGAACUGCGGUUGAAACGCUCAAGCUAGAGUGCGUCAGAGGGGGGUGGAAUUCCACGGGUAGCAGUGAAAUGCGUAGAGAUGUGGAGGAACACCAGUGGCGAAGGCGACUCUCUGGUCUGUAACUGACGCUGAGGCUCGAAAGCGUGGGGAGCAAACAGGAUUAGAUACCCUAGUAGUC
rnacentral:rRNA from 1 species